rnacentral:rRNA from 1 species
UACGGAGGGGGCUAGCGUUGUUCGGAAUUACUGGGCGUAAAGCGCGCGUAGGCGGACCUGCAAGUCGGGGGUGAAAGCCCGAGGCUCAACCUCGGAACUGCCUUCGAUACUGCGGGUCUCGAGUCCGGGAGAGGUGAGUGGAAUUCCUAGUGUAGAGGUGAAAUUCGUAGAUAUUAGGAAGAACACCAGUGGCGAAGGCGGCUCACUGGCCCGGUACUGACGUUCAGGCACGAAAGCGUGGGGAGCAAACAGG